UCCAUUAGUAUAUGAAUAUGGUGAAUGAGAGUAGUUUAUUCAUGUUCUCUACACUUUCUUUCAAUUUGAUUUUCAGUUUAGAUCUGAUUUGCUUUUGCAUUCGAUUUUCGUUUUUGGUCUGAUUGUAUUUGAUUUUAAUUUUUGGUAAAGGUUGAAUUUGAAGGGUUCAUGCCCUAGAUCUGUAGAAUUGCAGAAUCUGAAAGCAUAUCAAUCAAAUUUGUUAUUCGUUGUAUGAACUGUAUGAUGAUUAUGUCGUUGCUCAUGCUUCAAGUAACAUUGGAACUAGUGAUUCUCAAGUGGGAGGAGAUCUUCUAAUAGUCCUAUAACUAGUUGCAAUACAAAAGGAAAAACUAAGAGCAUGUCAGAGUUUGAUAUAUGAGCACAAGAGUUGGAAACUAUUGAACCAAGCAAAUCUGAUUUGGACAUAUAUUUGGAAGAAGGCUUUUACAUUUGUAAAGGGAAUUUAGAUGUUGAUUUUGAUGCUUUAGAUUGGUGUAAGGAAAACACUCUCAAGUUUCGCAUUCUAUCAAACAUGGUACGUGACCAAUAUAUCAAUUCCUAUCAGCACUGUAGCUUCUGAAUCUGCUUUUAGUUCUUCUUUUCUUGAGAUAUUCUUAACAAAUACGUAUUUAGUUUUUUGGAUGUUAGAAUUUCUCAGCUUAUAUUUGAACGUGCAUCAUGAAGGUUUCAUUUUUUUUUUGGCACAGUGGGCACCAUGUGAUACCAUCAUUGCGACGCCAUUGCUUAUUGCAUUUGAACUGCUCCUCUGUAUAUAUCUUGAGAGCAUCUAUGUCAAUGGUUUUGCAGCUGUAAACUUGAGGAUUGUCUUCCUUCCCUUGCUGGCAUUUGAAAUAACCAUCCUAAUGGACAAUUUCAGUGUUCAUAUGAUAUAGAGAAGAACUAUGGUUUAAGUAAUUUGCUGGUCAAACAAGAAAGCUCACUAGUGAUGGACAAUAAUGAACUUCCUUGCCAGCAAGAAAGCAACUUAUAAUCCCACCUGAUCCUUUUGGACCAAUUCUAGUAGAGAAUGACCCAGACAGAAAUCAGGGUGUGUUGGUGGGUGAGACUUAGCAGGAUCGAAUGGAAUGCAGACAAUGGGGAGCUCACCCUCCCCAUGUUGCAGGGAUUCCUGGGCAAGCAGAUUAUGGGGCUCAGUCUGUAGCACUCUCUGGAGGCUAUGAAGAUGAUGAGGAUCACAGUGAAUGGUUCCCAUACACAGGAAGUGGUGGAAGAGACCUCAGUGGAAACAAAAGGACGAACAAGACAGUCAUUUGAUCAAAAGUUUGAUAAAAUGAAUGAGGCAUUACGGGUCAAUUCAAGAAAAGGUUAUCUCGUCCGAGUUGUGAGGCCAGAUAUUUCUGAUUUGGAAAAACGGCUUGCACCCUCGUCCCUAUGAUAGGAGCAAGUGGAUUUGUUACAACUGCAUCUACAACGGCUAUAGAAAUUGUUGUCGGUAGUUUUAGAUAAUCUCUUAAUAGUUGUCGAUAUGUUUAGAAAGUUAGAUAUACAUAAUUUUGGAUGGUUUAAACUUUUUGUACAGUUUAGAACUAAAGGAUAUAGUUUUCGAAUGUAUAGA